CACCUCUGGCCCCCGUCAUUGGCCCCCCCACUUCUGGCCCCCAUCUUCGGCCCUCCCACCUUGGGUCACCUGUCAUCGACCCUGAACUAAGGCUCUCUAUCUCUGGGCCCCUGGCUUUUCCAUCUCUAAUUGUGGGUGGCACUUAGUAUUGAACUGGGGGCAGAGCUGACUGUGGUGUCAGGUAACUAACAGGGCGCAGGAUGAAACUUGUGGCGCGUGAUGAUUCCAUGGGAUGAAUUCAUCUCUACUGCUGAUGCCACAAGCUUUAAUGUCCCUGGCACCUCGAAGGCUCACCUUUCAGUUCACUUACUAUGGGCUAUCUGCAUUAUUUCUAUCAUACAUUCUUUCUUAUGCUUUUCAGCUGGUGUUUGAUCUUAUGAAAAUGUGGAGGUAAAUAUCUUCUUCAUAAACGUGGUGCAGCUUUUGUAUAGUUGCACAUAAAUAGUCACUCUGUGUUUUGUUACUUGUCUUUGAGAUUUUGCUAAGAAAUCUGUGAACCUAUUUCUUUCCUUCAACGCCCAACCGCGGACUUCUUUGAGGAAUUGUGUCCAGAAUUCAGCAUAUGGUAAAGCAAAGACGGUGCCUCUACAUACCAAAAGCUGGUGUUUGAUCUUAUGAAAAUGUGGAGGUAAAUAUCUUCUUCAUAAACGUGGUGCAGCUUUUGUAUAGUUGCACAUAAAUAGUCACUCUGUGUUUUGUUACUUGUCUUUGAGAUUUUGCUAAGAAAUCUGUGAACCUAUUUCUUUCCUUCAACGCCCAACCGCGGACUUCUUUGAGGAAUUGUGUCCAGAAUUCAGCAUAUGGUAAAGCAAAGACGGUGCCUCUACAUACCAAAAGGUAAUGUUUGAUUUGAGAGAACUUUUGAUCUGUCUGUUUUAGAAAAAAAGAAUUGAAAUGUACUGAUUAAUAUUCUCUGUGUUUUACUCCCGGACUGCACUGAAUCAACUCCUCGUGGAGACCUGGGUCUCAUGUUCCAGUUAGAAGAAGUAGGAAGCCAUCGAUUAAGACUAAGAAUCUGCUUGCACAGUGAAUCCAACGCAAACCUGUAGACCUGAAUCUCCUAAUACCACAGGCAGAGAUGGAAAAUGGCUUCUCUGCUCUAUUUUGCUCUUCUUUUUUUGCUGUAAAAACUUUGAAAAAUGAAUAAAAAAGGAAUAUAUGAAAAAUUA